rnacentral:rRNA from 1 species
GACGAACGCUGGCGGCGUGCCUAAUACAUGCAAGUCGAGCGAAGCGGCGGAUGGGUGAGUAACGCGUGGGUAACCUGCCAUUGAGUCUGGGAUACCAUUUGGAAACCGAUGCUCCUCCCGAAUACUAAAGGAUGGACCUUCGAUGCGUUAGCUCGUUGGUAAGGUAACGGCUUACCAAGGCGAUUAUGAAAAGCCGGUUUGUGGAGCUGAUCGGCCACAUUGGGACGGGGCCACGGCCCAAGCUCCGACGGUAGGCAGCAGGAGGGAAUCUUCCACAAGGGACGAAAGGCUGGUGGAGCAACGCCGCGUGAGGGAAGAAGUUUUUCGGAGCGUAAAGCUCUGUUUUUGGUAAAGCGGUAAUCAACCAGAAAGGCACGGCUAACUACGUGCCAGCAGCCGCGGUAAUAC